rnacentral:rRNA from 1 species
GAUGAACGCUGGCGGCGUGCCUAAUACAUGCAAGUCGAGCGAACAGACCAGGAGCUUGCUCCUCUGACGUUAUCGGCGGACGGGAGAGUAACACGUGGUUAACCUAACUAUAAGACUGGGAUAACUUUGGGAAACCGGAGCUAAUACCGGAUAAUAUAUUGAACCGCAUGGUUCCAUAGUUAAAGAAGGUUUUUCUGACACUUAUAGACGGCUCAGGACAGCAUUAGUUAGUUGGUAAGGUAAAGGAUUACCAAGGCAACGAUGCGUAACCGACCUGAGCGGGUGAACGGCCAGACGGGAACUGAGACUCAGUACAGACUCCUAGAGUGAGCAACAGUAGGGACUCUUACGCGAGGGACGAGAGGCUGACGGAGCAACGCCGCGUGAGGGAUGAUGGUCUUCUGAUCGUAGAGCGCUGUUAGUAUUAAAGAACUAAUGUGUAAGUAACUAUGAUCAUAAUGACGGUACCUAGUCAGAAAGCCACGGCUAACUACGUG